UACGUAGGGCGCAAGCGUUAUCCGGAAUUAUUGGGCGUAAAGAGCUCGUAGGCGGUUUGUCGCGUCUGCCGUGAAAAGUCCGGGGGCUCAACUCCGGAUCUGCGGUGGGUACGGGCAGACUAGAGUGAUGUAGGGGAGACUGGAAUUCCUGGUGUAGCGGUGAAAAUGCGCAGAUAUCAGGAGGAACACCGGUGGCGAAGGCGGGUCUCUGGGCAGUAACUGACGCUGAGGAGCGAAAAGCGUGGGGGAGCGAACAGG
rnacentral:rRNA from 1 species